UCCCUUGCAAUAUAUGUAACCCCGUGUUAUUCUAAGGAAGAAUUAUUUUUGUUCGGAUAACUUUUUACGAAGUGUCAGAUGUUCAUCUGCAAGAUUUGAGCAAGGAUAGUAAUACAAUGUAUGCUCACGCAUACGAGGAGGAAAUACACAUGGAACAAGGUAAAGUAAAAUGGUUUAACUCAGAAAAAGGAUUUGGCUUCAUCGAACGCGAAGGCGGCGACGAUGUAUUCGUACAUUUCUCUGCAAUCCAAAGCGAAGGCUUUAAAUCACUUGACGAAGGUCAAGAAGUAACGUUUGAUAUCGAGCAAGGCCAACGCGGUCUUCAAGCUACUAACGUACAAAAAGCUUAAUCUAAAGCUAACUUAUCAAUGAGCUCUUCUUCGGAAGAGCUCAUUUUU
rnacentral:sRNA from 1 species